ensembl:snRNA U6 U6 spliceosomal RNA
GUGCUUACUUCAGCAGCACAUCUACUAAAAUUGGAAUAAUACAGAGAAAAUUAGCAUGGCUCCUGUGUGAAGAUGACAUAAAAAGUAGUGCAGUGUGUGUGUGUGUU